GUUCCACUCCUCAGGUUAUACACAACUGGGAGAAAUCAGGUCCAGGCCAGAGUUUUUUGGAACUGUCUCCAACCCACUGCUCAGCUGCAGAUAAUCAGCUGUAGCAGUGGGAAUAAAACCCUCCCUGCUAGGCAGGUAAAGGGUGAUUGCUGGCUUCCUCCCUGGAAGCAGGUAGGAGAGAGGCUGUUCUCUCCAGUGAGAGAGUCAAGGAGACUGAGCACUGGGAGUGCAGAAGGAAAGCAGUCAAGGCUGGCUUGGAGCACUGGGAGCGCAGAAGGAAGCAGUCAAGGCUGGCUUGGAGCACUGGGAGUGCAGAAAGGAAAGGAGUUAAGGUUGGCUUGGAGCACUGGGAGUGCAGAAAGGAAAGCAGUUAAGGCUGGCUUGGAGCACUGGGAGUGUAGAAAGGAAAGCAACAGGCUGACUAAGCCCUGGAGUGC